UAAACUGCAUUGAUUAGUCCUAAUGUACCUCAAUUAAAUAAUCGUCUUUUAUGUAAUGCUGUGGCAUAAGGCAUUGUGCAAUAAAAACUAACCUCAGCAAAUGCUAGACACAUUGCAUUAAAAAUAGAUGACUUACAUAAAUACCUGUACACCACAUUGAGUAAUAUUAGUAAUUGAAUUAAUAAUUGAACAUAAUAUAUUUGAUCACACAAAAUUGAGUAGUUUCCUAUUUAAGCUUCAAUGACGACGCGCAUUUAUGAAAUUUUUAGUCUUGGAAUUCAACGAACUGCACCUAUCAAUUAAGGAGUGGCAACAAUUAAAGCAAGUUAUGAUGCGUGAUUGCAAUCAGUCAAAUUAUCCCAAGAAGUUUUAUACAUUUCUCGCUUCAUACGCUUUUGUUCACAUAAUCCUGAAUUUCGACGAGAUUUCUGCCAGAUGAUACUUAUAUAUUCACUCCAAGGAAGGAAUUCUGCAUUUUUCGGUAUUUUAAGUAUUUUGCAUGUGCAGUAUUUUUUAUUUGAAUCAUACAUACGUGGAGACAUAUUAUAAAUGGCUUUCGGCGCUUUCUCCACUUUUGUGAUACUCACGGGUUUGACAUCAGUGUUCCAUACGAAGGUGAAACAGAAAGAGGAAAUCACGACAACUUUGCCCCUUGCUCCUGAACAAGAUGAUGACCUUUGCAUUAAACCUGGAUUUUUUGCCGAUACAAAGAAUUGUGGGGCUUUCUACCGGUGUGCGGAACAUUUAACACUUAACAGUGACCUCCGCUUGCUUAUUAAAUUUACGUUUAUGUGCCCACAAGGAACC